rfam:Chlamydiae bacterium RIFCSPHIGHO2_12_FTLL_49_9 rifcsphigho2_12_scaffold_39415, whole genome shotgun sequence.
GGAUUGAUAGCUCAGUGGAUAGAGCACCCGCCUUCUAAGCGGGCGGUCGCAGGUUCGAGUCCUGCUCAAUCCG